rnacentral:rRNA from 1 species
AUACGUAGGGGGCAAGCGUUGUCCGGAAUUAUUGGGCGUAAAGGGCGCGUAGGCGGAUAAUUAAGUCCGGUGUGAAAGAUCAGGGCUCAACCCUGAGAUUGCAUCGGAAACUGGUAAUCUUGAGGACAGGAGAGGAAAGUGGAAUUCCACGUGUAGCGGUGAAAUGCGUAGAUAUGUGGAGGAACACCGGUGGCGAAGGCGACUUUCUGGACUGUACCUGACGCUGAGGCGCGAAAGCGUGGGGAGCAAACAGGAUUAGAUACCCUGGUAGUCCACGCCGUAAACGAUGAGUGCUAGGUGUAGAGGGUAUCGACCCCUUCUGUGCCGGAGUUAACACAAUAAGCACUCCGCCUGGGGAGUACGGCCGCAAGGCUGAA